UUAAUAUUUGAAAACUUUAUUUUUCUCAAAUGAGCACCAACACAGAUUGGAAAUAUGACAGAAACAAUGUACUUUUCUCUAAUACUGAAUCACUAUGUACAAAUACAGGAAAAGGUGAAGACAGAUUAUUUGAAAACAAUUACCUUUGUUAUUGAAGCAAAGUGACCUGAAAAAUGCCACAAAAGAAAACAAAAAAAACCAAAAACCCCCAAACCCAACAAAUACAUUUUGUAAACACAGCGUAAAUAGACAGAUUCUGUAUUGAAAGAUAGUCUCUGCAAGCUGGGAAAGGGAACUGACUCCCACUUUCACCAAAAUGUUAUACAAAAACAUAUGGGCAGAUAGAAUUUGGUAAUAUGAGAAUAGUUUGUUUCUUCUUAGCUUUACCUUUUACUGCAAGUAGAUUUCAUGACUAUUUCAAUUUUUUAAAAAAAUAAACAUCUUUUUUCUCUAGCUAGAGGACUAGCAUGUUUUCUCAUGUGAGGCAUAUUCUUUAAAAAUACGUAAAUUGAUUAUGUUCAAGAUUUAAUUUCCCAGCCUCUUCCUGAACCUGAGGCAAUCUGACCUUUAAAAAAAAAAAAAAAAAAA